AGUGAACGCUGGCGGUAGGCCUAACACAUGCAAGUCGAACGGCAGCACAGUAAGAGCUUGCUCGUACGGGUGGCGAGUGGCGGACGGGGGAGGAAUACAUCGGAAUCUACUUUGUCGUGGGGGAUAACGUAGGGAAACUUACGCUAAUACCGCAUACGACCUACGGGUGAAAGCAGGGGAUGUUCGGACCUUGCGCGAUUGAAUGAGCCGGUGUCGGAUUAGCUAGUUGGCGGGGUAAAGGCCCACCAAGGCGACGAUCCGUAGCUGGUCUGAGAGGAUGAUCAGCCACACUGGAAGUGAGACACGGUCCAGCCUCCUACGGGCGGCAGCAGUGGGGAAUAUUGGACAAUGGGCGCAAGCCUGAUCCAGCCAUCCCGCGUGGGUGAAGAAGGCCUUCGGGUUGUAAGGCCCUUUUGUUGGGAAAGAAAAGCAGCAGGUUAAUACCCCGCUGUUCUGACGGUACCCAAAGAAUAAGCACCGGCUAACUUCGUG
rnacentral:rRNA from 1 species